UCACCGCUUGCGCGGGCAGUCCCCCUAGAGUCCCCGCCAUGACGCGCUGGCAACUAGGGGCGAGGGUUGCGCUCGUUGCGGGACUUAACCCAACAUCUCACGACACGAGCUGACGACAGCCAUGCAGCACCUGUCUCCGCGCCCCUUGCGGGGACCACCCAUCUCUGGGCUUAGCACGGGAUGUCAAGGCCUGGUAAGGUUCUGCGCGUUGCGUCGAAUUAAACCACAUGCUCCACCGCUUGUGCAGGCCCCCGUCAAUUUCUUUGAGUUUUAACCUUGCGGCCGUACUCCCCAGGCGGAUGACUUAACGCGUUAGCUGCGCCACCGAAACGCCAAGCGCCCCGACAGCUAGUCAUCAUCGUUUACGGCGUGGACUAC
rnacentral:misc_RNA from 1 species